GAUUAACGCUGGCGGCAUGCAUAACACAUGCAAGUCGAACGAUGAAACUUAACUGAUUUCUUCGGAAUGAUUUUAAGUGGAUUAGUGGCGGACGGGUGAGUAACGCGUGAGUAACCUGCCUUGGAGAAGGGGAUAGCCUUUGGAAACGAAGAAUAAUACCCUAUGAUAUGAUAAUAUCUCAUGAUAUUAUCAUCAAAGAUUUAUCGCUCUAAGAUGGACUUGCGUCUGAUUAGUUAGUUGGUGAGGUAACAGCUCACCAAGGCAGCGAUCAGUAGCCGGCUUGAGAGAGUGUACGGCCACAUUGGGACUGAGACACGGCCCAGACUCCUACGGGAGGCAGCAGUGGGGAAUUUUGCACAAUGGGGGAAACCCUGAUGCAGCGACGCCGCGUGAUUUAGAAGGCCUUCGGGUUGUAAAAAUCUUUUGUAUGGGAAGAAAAUGACAGUACCAUACGAAUAAGGACCGGCUAAUUACGUG
rnacentral:rRNA from 1 species